GGAUGUGAGGGCGAUCUGGCUGCGACAUCUGUCACCCCAUUGAUCACCAGGGUUGAUUCGGCUGAUCUGGCUGGCUAGGCGGGUGUCCCCUUCCUCCCUCACCGCUCCAUGUGCGUCCCUCCCGAAGCUGCGCGCUCGGUCGAAGAGGACGACCAUCCCCGAUAGAGGAGGACCGUUCUUCGGUCAAGGGUAUACGAGUAGCUGCGCUCCCCUGCUAGAACCUCCAAACAAGCUCUCAAGAAGCCACAGGGGUUGGGCAUGAAUGAUUUUCACAGU
rnacentral:snRNA from 1 species